rnacentral:lncRNA from 1 species
AUUACUUGAAGUGUGCAGCUGUGCUCUUGGAAAUUUUGUCAUUUCGUUGUUUUGUUUUUGCCUUGGAGGGGUUAUGGAUCCUUAGGUGGUAUCAACAGAAUCUCACGAAAGUCUUGGAGAUGCAUUCUUUAAAGGAUUGAUGGAGCGUUGAAUGCUGAGUUUACUACUUGUGUUUUUUGUGUAUUGUAAACUGUCGGGAAAUGAUUUGGGAGACACUAUCUCGUGCAUCCUAACUUUAUUUCAAGGAGCUAAUUUUAAAUGUGGAAGUGAGUCUCUCUUUUUUGGAUAGAAAGGAAAAAAAACCCCAUUAUUUUUCAACUCUCGUGCGUGUUGAUGGAUUCUGCUGUUCAGAUAUAUUACAAAAAUUAGAAUGAAAUUCAAGUGGCUGAUGUUUUGUUUUCUUUAUUUACGCUAUGCGGCUAUGCCAUUGUCAUUUGAUUUCCUCAAUUUUUUCCGUAAGAUUUCCCCAUAUUUUGUCGUUGAGCUUCAUCUAAUAUGAGUUCUCGAUCAUGCUAGUUCCAUGUUAAGGGUUUCACAUCAUAAUUUUUUUACUUAUGUUACUUGGAUACUUCACUCACCUAAAAGAUCACUUACCCAUUGGGGUGUAAUAGUAGGUGGAUUGGCAUUUGAAUGAAAUUGGUGCCUGAUUACUUGAAGUGUGCAGCUGUGCUCUUGGAAAUUUUGUCAUUUCGUUGUUUUGUUUUUGCCUUGGAGGGGUUAUGGAUCCUUAGGUGGUAUCAACAGAAUCUCACGAAAGUCUUGGAGAUGCAUUCUUUAAAGGAUUGAUGGAGCGUUGAAUGCUGAGUUUACUACUUGUGUUUUUUGUGUAUUGUAAACUGUCGGGAAAUGAUUUGGGAGACACUAUCUCGUGCAUCCUAACUUUAUUUCAAGGAGCUAAUUUUAAAUGUGGAAGUGAGUCUCUCUUUUUUGGAUAGAAAGGAAAAAAAACCCCAUUAUUUUUCAACUCUCGUGCGUGUUGAUGGAUUCUGCUGUUCAGAUAUAUUACAAAUUAGAAUGAAAUUCAAGUGGCUGAUGUUUUGUUUUCUUUAUUUACGCUAUGCGGCUAUGCCAUUGUCAUUUGAUUUCCUCAAUUUUUUCCGUAAGAUUUCCCCAUAUUUUGUCGUUGAGCUUCAUCUAAUAUGAGUUCUCGAUCAUGCUAGUUCCAUGUUAAGGGUUUCACAUCAUAAUUUUUUUACUUAUGUUACUUGGAUACUUCACUCACCUAAAAGAUCACUUACCCACACAUAUGCUUACCUUUUUCUGUUGCGCUGUCAUGGAUUGGCUCAGUGGUAAAAAAGUAGACAUAGUCUUAAUAGUUAACUAAGAGGUCAUUGAUUCAGUCCAUGAUUCAUGAUGACAACCUAUGUAAGAAUUAAUUUUCUUCGAAAACCGACACCCAAAUGUUGUAGUAAGGUCAGACGAAUUGUCAUGUGAGAUUAGUUGAGAUGCAUGCAAGAUGGCCAGACACUCAUGAAUAUCAAAAGUUUAUUUAUAAUUCUUAAUGUUGCAG